GGGGGUAUAGCUCAGUGGUAGAGCAUUUGACUGCAGAUCAAGAAAAUAUGUUUUACAGUAUUGGGUAAGGAAAGGAUUGAUAGUACCAAAAUUUAUUUUUCUCUU
rnacentral:tRNA from 1 species